AAACCGAUUAACCCCCCACCCCUUCAUUUCUCCCUUCCUAACUUGUACAACUAAAUAUAAAAUUACGGAUAUCCUCAAUUUAUUUGUUAGUACCACACUAUAAAAGCAGCCUCUUGUUUAUAUUUUGUGCUUAAUACCAUCACUCAAGUUCCUUUUAGCCUGACUCCUCUUUCCAACAAGAAAUAGUCACCCUUCUAUGCUUUUGCUUUACUUUUUUGGCUAUUAAAUUGAGAAGAAAAUGAUGGGAUUUGAGAGAUUAAUGGUGAACUUGAAGACAAAAUUGAGGAGGUCUCUGAAAAUGAAGGAACCUUACGAUAAGAUUGAGAAGAGUGAAAGCAUGAGAGUGGAGAUUAGGAGCAAGAAAGCUCGUAAACUCAUCGAACAGACUCUUCAAAUUGCUGACUCUCCCAAAACCAGAAGCUAUACUUUCUAGUUACUGCUAAAACGUGUUUUUUGUACCGCAAAUGCCUUGUAAUAACAAAUUUCGUCCCAACUUGAUAAGAAAUCAAGCCAACUGCAGAACCUUAGUGGCGUAUCUGUUUUCUUCUCUUCUUAUUUUCAUACACAAACACACAGGCAGUAAUUAAUUGUUGAGACAGACACAUGAUUCGAUACUAAGCCAAUAGUACUUCUGUGCUGUGUCUCCAUCUGCA